rnacentral:lncRNA from 10 species
CCGACUAAUAGGUAUUGAUUGCCUCUGGAACAGCUAUCAAUAUAAAGAGCCAGACAAAACACAUAAUAAAGAAUUGUGUUAGUGCCAGAGAGACUUUAGAGAUCAUUUGCCCAUCUCUUUACCUUCUCCCACUUCUUUCUGUCCCUCCACCCCCCCAGCUCUGAUACAGACACACGGGAUAUUAGUAAAGGAUAGUAUUUGUUGAGAGCCUUUUGCGUGUCAGGCACUGCUUCUAAACGUUGUAUAAUACCAGCUCAUUCAAUCUUCAAAUCAAUGCUAUGCAGUAGGUACUCUUCUUCUUUUUUCUUUUUUAAUUUUACAGCUGAGGGACUUAGGUAUGGAGAGGUUAGGUAACUUGUUCAAGGACACCAAGCCAGUCAGGGUGCCACUGGACCUAAGACAAGGUAACCUGGCUCUGAGACCAACCCCACAGAGAAGUAUGUGGAUGCUGACAACACUGUAGGAAGUUACAAGGAGCAAAAGAAUAGCAGCCUCAGCCCUGAAUUCCACUGUAAGCUUCCCUCUAAUCUUCCCUGCCUCACUCUCAAUCAAAUAAAGAGCUGAUCAGGAAGCAACUAUGCACGGU